UGGAAGUAUGCUCAUGGCCACCCCAAAGACCUCAUCAUAGGUGAUGCGGCGAAAGAUUUUUCAAAAUGGCCGGUCACUUUCCUGAGAGUGGAGGUCCUCCAGGCGCCGGAGAUGACCCAGAUAUUAUGGCUCUGCCUCCGAGGGUUCGACCAUUUAUUCCUGAGAGGUACGACCCUCCGACACAUGUCCUCCCUCGGGCAGUUUUCUAUCAUUUUACGAACUUCGAUGAUCGAGCCCCCGUAGUUUUGCUAUUGCGGGAGCCGGAGUCCCAUCUCUCUCAUCAGGCACGAGAGGUGUCUUCUCGUAUCACACGAGGGUAUGGCUCCAUCGUCGCGAGGGAGUGGUACGCAGAGCUCCCGAAGGCUGUCCGCAAGUGGGUUGACGAGGCAGGGUUUGGACCUUUCUGUACAGGGAUAUCCCGCUAUCCUGCCAGUAGGACGUUGAUGGGUGCGCUUGUAGAGAGAUAGUGGGACACCACCAACUCCUUCCAUUUCUCAGCUGUCGGGGACAUGACUAUGACCCCAUUCGACUUCGCUGUAUUAACAGGCCUCGACAUGGGAGACUGGGCGAUCCCUUAUGAUGAGGACAUGGACGAGUGGGAGGCUGCCUGGAUUUAACUAUUGGGAGCUCGUCCACCGGUCGACCGAUCCUCGGGUCGAGUCUGGUACACCUGGUUUUCUUCAUAUUUCAGACAGAGGGAGUCCGAGACUCCCAAGGAGAUAGCACAGUACACCCGAGGGUUUUUGAUGUUCCUCUUCGGGACCACUCUGUUCUCCGAUAGGGGGAACACCGUUGGACUAUAUCUUCUGAGUGCCCUGGUGGACCUAUCGCGGGUUAGCCAGUAUGAUUGGGGUGGCGCCGGCUUAGCUACCCUUUAUUGCUACAUGAGCGCAACCUCCCGCGGACGGGGGAACAUAGUCGGUGGCUACUGGAGAGCUUGGGAGUUAUAGGUUUUUGCGUACUUCCCAACGCUAGCCCCAGAGCUCGAGGUGGAGGCGCCCCUCAUGACCCCCUACUCGCUUGUUUUCGAGGGCCAAUACCGGUCGAAACCUCGGGAGACUCUCCCCUACCUGUGGCAGUAUUUCGAUACGGUGCGGCCGACAGAGAUCACGUGGCAACGUUAGGUGCCUUUGGGUGGGGACCUCCAAUUUCAGCUUGCCGGAGGAUGGGCUGCUUCACGGUACAGGGUCCUGUUUGAGGGGCCGGUCGGUAGGGCCUGGUUCUUGGGGGAAUGCUUCAUGCGCCAAACGAUGGGCUACCCUCAUCAGGAUAUCCCCUCAGCACCUCCGGUCGAUAUGCGGGCUACCGGGAGGCUCACUCCCCAGGAGGUUAUCAGUGCCAUGCUGGGUACUGACAUAUUACUAUAUUGGGAGGAGGGAGAGUACGCGACCUACCGUCACACAUACUUGAUGCCCCCGUUGACAGGUGUCCGUACUCCCACGAGGAGGUCCGCUGACAUGCCAUCUUCGAGUCGAGCCCGGGCUGCAAGUACCCCUUCUUCUAGCAGAGCCGGUACGUCGAGAGGUGGGGGUGGACUGGUCCCUCCGAUUCCUCUGACUUAUCAUCAUGCCGGAUGGCCUGACAUUCCGACCGAGUUGACGGGUUGGCGAUACAGGAGCUCCUACCCGAUUUCAAUAGAGCCUCCUAUGCCUGAUCAUCGACACGUCAGUGAUCCUGACUCA